rnacentral:tRNA from 1 species
UGUAGCUCAGCUGGUUAGAGCGCUCGCCUGAUAAGCGGGAGGUCGGUGGUUCAAGUCCGUCCACUCAGACCCA